rnacentral:rRNA from 1 species
GACGGGGGAUGCAAGCGUUAUCCGGAAUGAUUGGGCGUAAAGGGUCCGCAGGUGGCCCGGUCAGUCCGCUGUCGAAAGCCCUGGGGGCUCAACCCUGGGAGAGGCGGCGGAGACCACCGGGGCUUGGAGUCCGGGUAGGGGCAGAGGGGAAUUCCCGGUGGAGCGGUGAAAUGCGUGAGAGGAUCGGGAAAGAACGCCAAGGGCGAAGGCACUCUGCUAGGCCUGAUUCGCGACUGACAGCUCAGGGACGAGAGCCAGGGAGCGAAUGGG